AUACGUAGGGGGCAAGCGUUAUCCGGAUUUACUGGGUGUAAAGGGAGCGUAGACGGCCAUGCAAGUCUGAAGUGAAAGCUCGGGGCUCAACCCCGGAACUGCUUUGGAAACUGUAAGGCUGGAGUGCAGGAGAGGUAAGCGGAAUUCCUAGUGUAGCGGUGAAAUGCGUAGAUAUUAGGAGGAACACCAGAGGCGAAGGCGGCUUACUGGACUGUAACUGACGUUGAGGCUCGAAGGCGUGGGGAGCAAACAGGAUUAGAUACCCUGGUAGUCCACGCGGUAAACGAUGAUCACUAGGUGUCGGCAGGCAUAGCUUGUCGGUGCCGCAGUAAACGCAAUAAGUGAUCCACCUGGGGAGUACGUUCGCAAGAAUGAAACUCAAAUGAAUUGGCGGGG
rnacentral:rRNA from 1 species